GCACCUGCAAAUUCAGGUGUCAGGUUUCAGACCCCGCCGAAGUGACCGCGACAAUGUGACACGCCGCGAGCGUGUUUUUU
rnacentral:sRNA from 1 species